AGCAGAGAGCAGCCCCGGGCCUGAAGGUUUUGGGUCUGGGUUUUACAUCUUGUGUUGGGAAUUGGUGAAGGACGACAUAGUGGAGGCAGUGAGAGAAUUUUUCAUGGGUAGCUCACUACCCAGAUUUUACACCUCUUUAUUCAUUGUCUUAAUUCCGAAAGUAAACCAACCUAGGAGUUUUGAAAAGUUUAGGCCUAUUAGCCUUUGCUCAGUCAUUUACAAAGCUUUUUCAAAGAUCCUUGUCAAGCGUAUGACAUGGUUGCUCCCAAACCUGAACAGGGAUCAUUUAUUCCAAAUAGAAACAUUUUGAGAACAUCACCCUUACCCAGGAAAUGAUCCACUCUUUGAACAGGAAAACCAGAGGUGGUAAUGCUAUGUUAAAAAUCGACAUGGCAAAGGCUUAUGAUAGAGUAGACCGGAGGUUUUUCCUACACGUGCUUGAAGAAUUUGGCUUCUCUAAAAGGUUUUACGACUUGGUGGCAGAGUGUGUUACAACUCCUUAGUUUUCAAUAAUGAUGAAUGGGACUCAUAAAGGUUUCUUCCAACCUAGCAGAGGGCUCCAUCAAGGCGAUCCUUUGUCUCCUAAUUUGUUCAACAUUAUGGAAGAGAUUUUAUCACGUCUCUUACGCAAGAGGUUUGAAGAAGGCAGUAUUGUGAGGUUCUAUCAUCCUAUUGGGGCCCCUUUGGUCUCACAUCUAUUAUAUGCCAAUGAUGUAGUAGUAUUUGCGAAUGGAGGUAGACGAUCUAUAAAAAUGCUCAUGAAGACCCUGAAAACAUAUGAAAAGUGAUCGGGACAAUUGAUAAAUCAACUAUUUUCUUCUCUAGAAGGAUCAUCUAUAGAAGGAAGAGGAGCUUGCUACGGUUAACUGAUUUUACUGAGGGACAGUUCCCAGUGGUUGACUUAGGAGUGCCUAUUACUUCUGGCUGUCUCACGGCUAGGCAUUUGAAGACUUCAGUAGCGAAAAUUUGCAACAAAUUAGCAGGUUGGAAAAUGAGGUUACUGUCUCAAUGAGGUCGCCUUAUUUUAAUCCGACAUGUUGUGACCCGUAUGGCAACACAUUUGUUGGCUAUGGUUAAUGUGCCAAAGAUAACUCUCAAUAACACGAACUCAUUAUCUACAUUCCUCUAGGUGAGGGUAAUGGAAAACACAUAAAGAAAUGGCGUGCUUGGUCUAAAGUAUGGAUGCCAACUAUAGAGGGUGGACUUGGGGUACGUGAUUUUGCUGCAAUUCAACGAUC
rnacentral:lncRNA from 1 species